CAGGGACCUGGGAGCUAUCACUUUGCUGGAAUUGGCUGGCUGUCCUUGGAGUGAAUGUUGUUUUGGAUUCCUUGAUUUCUUUGGAAGGACAUCUUCUUAAAUGGUGGGAUUUUUUUAUGCCAGGAUUCAAGAUCCUUUCUAGAUCAAAACAGUCAUAAACUAAACAACAACAACAACAACAACAACAACAACAACAAAAACAACUCACUUCCCAAAAUGGCCCUGCUGUGGUCCAAGCCAGUGGCUCUCCCAUUCCCUGGCUUUUCAGUGUCUCCUCUGAGGCCCAGCGAGGGGCCACCUCCAGCAAGAGCUCUUCCCCACUGUGACUCUUCUCCAGAUCUCUGCAGCUCUUCUGAUCCAAAUCCUGACUCUACUGAAUACGAAAUGCAGCAGAAAAGGAAAUCAUGAUUUCAGCUUUUGACCUUCAAGAUCAUGAUCAGGAAACUGGGCUGUGGAGUAAAGUUGGAAGUAGUAGAACCAGAACUGGAGUCCAGGAGGACUCAUUCCAGGCUGAAUGAACUUUGAUCAAUGUUAUGUCUUUCUUCUACAAUCUUUCCUAACCCUGCUGGCUUCCUUGAAUGUCUGCCUGUAAGUCUUUGUGCAGCAACAUAAAUGAGAAGGUGUCAUUUGUUGAUGGACAUCUAGGUUCUUUCCAUGGUUUGGCUGUUGUGGACAUUGCUGCUAUAAACAUUCGGGUGCAUUUGCCCCUUCGGAUCUCAAGUGACCUUUUUAGAACAGAAGUCCACCUCACUGGUCCCUGCUCUGUUGGUGUUCAGUCGUCUGUGGGAGCGUGGUAACCCGAUGACAGUGAUGUGGGCUGCUGCUCAGAUAUGCUGGGCUAACAGCUAAACUUCUGUGACUACUAAAAAGCCCAUCAGAAGUGUAGAAGGCGCAUGGACUGAACAGAGGACAUGGAUGCGGAGGACAUGGAGGCAAGAGAUGCGGGUGAUGUGGAUCUGCUUGAAGGCCUGGGAGGCAGAAGAGGACAGAUGCAGUAUGAAUUUUGAGGCUCUUAGGUGGUGAAUAUUCCAUGAGGCCCACUUCAGGCUCAGUGUUUCCCAAUCUGCUCUCUUUCAACCAUGCAUAACCCUGUGAUGUGAAAUAUCACCACUUUAUGAUACAGGAUAAUGCUACAAGAGAUCUUUCACUGAUGUAUCUUUGAGCUUGAGGAGCUAGCACAUUAAAUCAUGGAGUCCAGAAGGCAGUGGAAUACCAUAUUCAAGGUGCUGAAAGAAGGUGAUGGAACAGACUGGUAGAGGCUGGCAUGAUGACGGAGGCAGGAUGAGCCUCUGUAUCUGUAUGACCCAAAACCUGUGUUAUUCUGAGUAUUAGAAAACACAAGAUAAAACUUAGUAUCUUCCAUUCUUGUAUCUCUAAUAUCUAACCCCUAGUCUGAAUUUAUUGGUGCUUUAUAAAUAUUUGCUGAACAAGU